rnacentral:rRNA from 1 species
CAAAAACAUCGCCUCUUGCAAGACUAAAGAAUAAGAGGUCCCGCCUGCCCUGUGACAUACGUGUUUAACGGCCGCGGUAUUUUGACCGUGCAAAGGUAGCGCAAUCACUUGUCUUUUAAAUGAAGACCUGUAUGAAUGGCAUAACGAGGGCUUAACUGUCUCCUUUUUCAAGUCAAUGAAAUUGAUCUCCCCGUGCAGAAGCGGGGAUAACCCCAUAAGACGAGAAGACCCUAUGGAGCUUUAGACGCAAGGCAGACCUUGUUAAUCACCUCUAAACAAAGAGCCAAACCAGAAGGACCCUGCCCUAUUGUCUUUGGUUGGGGCGACCGCGGGGAAACAAACAACCCCCACGUGGACUAGGAGGACUUCUCCCACAACCAAGAGCCACAGCUCUAAGUAACAGAACUUCUGACCCUCAGAUCCGGCAUAGGCCGAUCAACGGACCGAGUUACCCUAGGGAUAACAGCGCAAUCCCCUUUUAGAGCCCAUAUCGACAAGGGGGUUUACGACCUCGAUGUUGGAUCAGGACAUCCUAAUGGUGCAGCCGCUAUAAAGGGUUCGUUUGUUCAACGAUUAAAGUCCUACGUGAUCUGAGUUCAGA